ACCUCGUGACUGCCCCUCCCUUUUGUGGUUUUGACUCAACUGACCAGCAUUCCUUCCUGAGAAGAGACCGCAGACCAUGGAGUGGUUCUGGCCAGUCUACAGAGGCUGUGCACGGUGGGCCUUCGUGUUCUCUGCUUCAUCUUUUGACAUCAGAGGACCAAAAUCUGCACCCUUGGAUCAUCCUAAUGCUGCCAUUUUUUGAAGAUCGGACCCAUGAAUUGCCAUGAAGCUCAGUUGCACAUGCACAUGUUUCUUCUUUCGUGCUGAACUGGGAGCCAGCAGUUUUGCCGUUGAAUCAGCUGUGACAUGGCAAAGUGGUGACCCUCAGCAGAAGCAGGCCAUGAGGCCAGGUGCGGGAUGUGGCACAGAGAAACAGAGAGGGCCAACCAGAGCCUAGAUGAGG